rnacentral:rRNA from 1 species
GAUUAACGCUGGCGGCGUGCCUAACACAUGCAAGUCGAGCGGCAGCGAGUUUUACACUGAAUUCUGGAAGCUUCUAGUUGAAAGAGAAGAUUUAUUCCAGAAUUUUGUGUAAAUUGUUGGCGAGCGACGGACGGCUGAGUAACGCGUGGGAACGUACCCCCAAGUGGGGGAUACCGCAUCGAAAGGUGUGCUAAUCCCGCAUAUGGUCUUCGUAUUAAAGCCUUCGGGCGCUUUGGGAACGGCCUGCGUAAGAUUAGCUAGUUGGUGGGGUAAUGGCCUACCAAGUCGACGAUCGGUAACUGGGUUGCGAGGACGCGCAGCCAGACCGGAACGGAGACACGGUCCGGAAUCCUACGGGAGGGAGCAGUGAGGAAUCCUACCCAAUGGGCGAAAGCCUGAUGGAGCUACGCCGCGUGCAGCAUGAUGGCCGUCGGGUAGUAAACUGCUUUUAUGAGUGAGCAUUAUGACCGGUACUUAUGAAUAAGGAUCCGCUUACUACCGGC